GACGAACGCUGGCGGCGUGCUUAACACAUGCAAGUCGAACGGAAAGGCCCUGCUUUUGUGGGGUGCUCGAGUGGCGAGCGGGUGAGUAACACGUGAGUAACCUGCCCUUGACUUUGGGAUAACUUCAGGAAACUGGGGCUAAUACCGGAUAGGAGCUCCUGCCGCAUGGUGGGGGUUGGAAAGUUUCGGCGGUUGGGGAUGGACUCGCGGCUUAUCAGCUUGUUGGUGGGGUAGUGGCUUACCAAGGCUUUGACGGGUAGCCGGCCUGAGAGGGUGACCGGCCACAUUGGGACUGAGAUACGGCCCAGACUCCUACGGGAGGCAGCAGUGGGGAAUAUUGCACAAUGGGCGGAAGCCUGAUGCAGCAACGCCGCGUGCGGGAUGACGGCCUUCGGGUUGUAAACCGCUUUCGCCUGUGACGAAGCGUGAGUGACGGUAAUGGGUAAAGAAGCACCGGCUAACUACGUG
rnacentral:rRNA from 1 species